rnacentral:rRNA from 1 species
UGGGGAAUUUUGGACAAUGGGCGCAAGCCUGAUCCAGCCAUGCCGCGUGUCUGAAGAAGGCCUUCGGGUUGUAAAGGACUUUUGUCAGGGAAGAAAAGGCUGUUGCUAAUACCGACAGCUGAUGACGGUACCUGAAGAAUAAGCACCGGCUAACUACGUGCCAGCAGCCGCGGUAAUACGUAGGGUGCGAGCGUUAAUCGGAAUUACUGGGCGUAAAGCGAGCGCAGACGGUUACUUAAGCAGGAUGUGAAAUCCCCGGGCUCAACCUGGGAACUGCGUUCUGAACUGGGUGACUAGAGUGUGUCAGAGGGAGGUAGAAUUCCACGUGUAGCAGUGAAAUGCGUAGAGAUGUGGAGGAAUACCGAUGGCGAAGGCAGCCUCCUGGGAUAACACUGACGUUCAUGCUCGAAAGCGUGGGUAGCAAACAGGAUUAGAUACCCUGGUAGUCCACGCCCUAAACGAUGUCAAUUAGCUGUUGGGCAACUUGAUUGCUUAGUAGCGUAGCUAACGCGUGAAAUUGACCGCCUGGGGAGUACGGUCGCAAGAUUAAAACUU